ensembl:lncRNA
CUUCACAUCCAGACAGGAGGAGAGAGAAGAGGCUCUGUCCCACUCACAGCCAGACAGCAUGGAGACCCUGGGCUGGAUACACACACACACACACACACACACAGUCACACACACACACGGUCACACACUGCUCUCUCACACACACACACACACACACACACAGCUCUCUCACACACACACACACAGUCACACACUGCUCUCACCCACACACACUCACAGGCUCACACUGCUCUCACACACACACACUCACAGGCUCACACUGCUCUCACACACACACACACACACACACACUCACAGUCUCACACUGCUCUCUCUCACGCACACACACACACACACACACACACAGUCACACACUGCUCUCUCACACACACACACACACACACACACACACACACACUGCUCUGUCUCACACACACACACACACACACACACACACACACACACAGUCACACACUGCUCUCUCACACACACACACACACACACACACACACUGCUCUCUCACAUACACACACACACACACACACAGUCACACACUGCUCUCUCACACACACACACACAGUCACACACUGCUCUCUCACACACACACACACACACACACACACACACACACACACAGUCACACACUGCUCUCUCUCACACACACACACACACACACACACACACUGACACACAGUCACACACUGCUCUCUCACAUACACACACACACACACAGUCACACACUGCUCUCUCUCACACACACACACACACACACACAGUCACACACUGCUCUCUCACACACACACACACGGUCACACACUGCUCUCUCACACACACACACUCACAGUCUCACACUGCUCUCCCACACACACACUCACAGGCUCACACUGCUCUCACACACACACACACACACACACACACUCAGAGUCUCACACUGCUUUCACACACACACACACUCACAGUCUCACACACACACACUCACAUUCUUUCACACCACACACUCAGUCACACACAGCUCUUUCACCUCCCAUCACCGCGAGCCAUCUCACACACACACACACACUCAGUCACACAGACUCAGUCACACACACACAGCUCUUUCACCUCCCAUCACCGCGGCCCAUCUCUCUCACACACACACUCAGUCACACUCAGUCACACACACUCAGUCACACACACACACUCAGUCACACUCAGUCACACACACACUGCUCUUUCACUUCCCAUCACCUCGGCCCAUCUCACACACACACACUCAGUCACACACACACUGCUCUUUCACUUCCCAUCACCGCGGCCCAUCUCUCUCACACACACACACACACACUCAGUCACACACACACAGUCACACACACACUGCUCUUUCACGUCCCAUCACCGCGGCCCAUCUCUCACACACACACACUCAGUCACACACACUCAGUCACACACACACUGCUCUUUCACCUCCCAUCACCGCGGCCCAUCUCUCACACACACACACACACACUCAGUCACACUCAGUCACACAAACUCAGUCACACACACACUGCUCUUUCACCUCCCAUCACCUCGGCCCAUCUCUCACACACACUCAGUCACACACACUCAGUCACACACACACACAGCUCUUUCACGUCCCAUCUCUAACACACACACUCAGUCACACACACUCAGUCACACACACACUGCUCUUUCACCUCCCAUCACCGCGGCCCAUCUCUCUCACACACACACUCAGUCACACACACACACUCAGUCACACUCAGUCACACACACACAGUCACACACACACUGCUCUUUCACGUCCCAUCACCGCGGCCCAUCUCUCACACACACACACUCAGUCACACACACUCAGUCACACACACACAGCUCUUUCACCUCCCAUCACCGCGGCCCAGCUCUCACACACACACACAGACGACAGCCCUGAGAUAUAUCUG